rnacentral:ncRNA from 1 species
UAAAAGUUUAAUUUUAGCUUAAAAAUUUAUUUUAGAUUUUAUUUAUAUGUGAAUUUUAGUGUGUAUUAUUUAAUAUUUUAAUAAUAUUAAAUUUAUUUUUAUAAUUAUAUUAUUAUUUAUAUACAAUAAUGAAAAUUAUUAAUUAAGGAAAUUUAGAAAUAGAAAUAUCUAUUAAGUAUUAACUAAAUUUGUGCCAGCAGUUGCGGUUAUACAAAUAAUACAAGUAAAUUUUUUUAGAAUUAAGUUAAUUAUAUUAAAUUGUAAAAUAAUUUAAAUUUAUUAGGUGAAAUUUUUAAAUUUUUAAAAAUUAUAUAGAAUGAAACUUGAAAAAUUUUUUUGUAAACUAGGAUUAGAUACCCUAUUAUUAAAAUUAUAAAUUUAAAAACUAAGGUAGUAAUAGAUAUGAUCUUGAAACUUAAAAAAUUUGGCGGUAUUUUAAACUAUCCAGAGGAACCUGUUCUAUAAUCGAUAAUCCACGAUGGACCUAACUUAAAUUUGUUAAUCAGUUUAUAUAUCGUUGUUAUAAAAAAUUUUUAAAGAAGUAUUAAUUUUUAAGAUUUUAUAUUUGAAAUUAUAUCAAAUCAAGGUGUAGCUAAUAUUUAAGUAGAAAUGGGUUACAAUAAAAUUAUUUAUGGAUAUAAUUAUGAAAAGAUUAUUAAAAUUGGAUUUGGAAGUAAAAUUAUAAAGAUUAAUAAUUUGACUAUAGCUCUAAAAUAUGUACAUAUCGCCCGUCACUCUUAUUAUUAAGAUAAGAUAAGUCGUAACAUAGUAGAUGUACUGGAAAGUGUAUCUAGAAUG